GGCUUAGAGUUUGAUCAUGGCUCAGGAUAAACGCUGGCGGCGCACAUAAGACAUGCAAGUCGAACGGACUUAACCUAUAGUUUACUAUUGGAGCGGUUAGUGGCGGACUGGUGAGUAACGCGUAAGCAAUCUGCCUAUCAGAGGGGAAUAACAGUGAGAAAUCACUGCUAAUACCGCAUAAGCUGUGAGUAUCGCAUGAUACAAGCAGAAAAGGAGCAAUCCGCUGAUAGAUGAGCUUGCGUCUGAUUAGUUAGUUGGUAAGGUAACGGCCUACCAAGACGAUGAUCAGUAGCCGGACUGAGAGGUUGAACGGCCACAUUGGGACUGAGAUACGGCCCAGACUCCUACGGGAGGCAGCAGUCGGGAAUAUUGCGCAAUGGAGGAAACUCUGACGCAGUGACGCCGCGUGCAGGAAGAAGGUUUUCGGAUUGUAAACUGCUUUAGACAGGGAAGAAGAAGUGACAGUACCUGUAGAAUAAGCUCCGGCUAACUACGUGCCAGCAGCCGCGGUAAUACGUAGGGAGCAAGCGUUAUCCGGAUUUAUUGGGUGUAAAGGGUGCGUAGAUGGAUAUACAAGUUGGUUGUGAAAUACCUCGGCUUAACUGAGGAACUGCAACCAAAACUGUAAAUCUUGAGUACUGGAGGGGAAAGCG
rnacentral:rRNA from 1 species